ensembl:scaRNA
CAGAUGCAAUCCUGCAAAGAAGCUUCUUGCGUCUUUCCCAGCUUGUGGCACAGCAGGAUUGCAUAGAGUGAAAAAGGAAGCUAAGGCGUGACUUCACAAGUUGUAGGAGUUUCACGUGCGAUAUUCCUGUAACAAUCUGUAAAGUUCUGUUUCCACGGGAGUGACUGUUCACUCUUUACCCUCACUUAUCAAAAAAACAGGCAGACAAAAGUAAGCAACAAUAUGUUGUUUGUUUGGUUAAAUGUUCCAUACAAGCACCUACAAGUUGCUACAUUA